ACGGUAACAGGUCUUCGGAUGCUGACGAGUGGCGAACGGGUGAGUAAUACAUCGGAACGUGCCCGAUCGUGGGGGAUAACGAAGCGAAAGCUUUGCUAAUACCGCAUACGAUCUACGGAUGAAAGCAGGGGACCGCAAGGCCUUGCGCGAACGGAGCGGCCGAUGGCAGAUUAGGUAGUUGGUGGGGUAAAGGCUUACCAAGCCUACGAUCUGUAGCUGGUCUGAGAGGACGACCAGCCACACUGGGACUGAGACACGGCCCAGACUCCUACGGGAGGCAGCAGUGGGGAAUUUUGGACAAUGGGCGCAAGCCUGAUCCAGCAAUGCCGCGUGCAGGAUGAAGGCCUUCGGGUUGUAAACUGCUUUUGUACGGAACGAAAAGGCUCUGG
rnacentral:rRNA from 1 species